rnacentral:misc_RNA from 2 species
UUUAUCGCAAACUUUUUUGCAAAGAUUUGAUUGAAAAAAAAGCCCGCACUGUUUAGGUGCGGGCUUUUUUCUG